UUCCCCAGUCGAGUAAGAUUCGUAUUCCCUUUGCGAAAUCGAAUGUACAUCCUAUAAACAAGUCUGCUUUUCCAGCUUUCUUCAGGAUGAUGAGUGUUUUGGCAUAAAACCAAUUCACGCCUUGGUCGGUCACCUAUUAUAUACCCAGUAACCGGUAUCCCUGGUGUUCCUUCGUUUCUGCUCCCUAUUAUGACCUUGGUCCCCUGUGGAGUCAGAUUUACCUGAGUUGAAAUAUACCUUUUUCAGGUCUUCCUCAGAUGAUUUGGUUGAUU
rnacentral:lncRNA from 1 species